UUUAAAUGGGCAAGCGGCACCGUCCGCCAAAACAAACGG
rfam:Potato leaf roll virus (Canadian isolate) genomic RNA, complete sequence.